AUGUGAGCCGAAUCAGACAUUUACACAGACGCUCUGUUGUCCACAACAGUGUGUGAGUGUCUGUAAGGCUGAAGGUGUCCGUUGACUGCACUCCUCUGAGGAAAGUCUGCUUCACAAAGAGAGGAGAUUCAAACUGACAGAGAGGCGACUCAGAAAGUAAAGGAUCUGAACUGUCCAUCUUCCAUCCAGUUGUGUCCAACUUUUGCCAAAGCAAGCAAGAAAGAGUCAUGGGAAAAGGUGAGAGCGAGGAGUGGAACGAAAAGCACCCGGAUACGAGGCAAACUCAGCCCCGGAGACACUCGGACGACAAAGGGAGCGACAGCUCUAAGAGCAGCUGCCCCACGUGCUGCCUGAAGACCAGAGACUGCCUGAUGAGUCCGGAGUGCGGCCGGGCACUGCAGAUCUCCAGCGUCGUCGCCUUCUGUGGAAUGUGUUUCGGCCAGUUGUUCUAACUGAGCCAUGGAUGCCAUGACCAACUAUUCUGCUCUAUGUCAAUAUAAAGUACCAGCCAGCUUCCUGCAGGAAAGUCAAGCUGUAUAGUUCUCUUCAAAUCAAGGAUGAAAAACACUUACUUCCAUCAGUUCUCUUUAAUCAUCAUUCCACAAGUUCUUAAAGAUAAUUAAGAUGUUUCUGAGAAGACGUGUAGAUAAAACCAACUGGAAAGUGAUUAUUUAUAAAGAAUCAAUUGCACAUAUGGACAAAGGGACGUAAAAAUGAAGGUGACUUUAACCUGCAUAUUAAGAGGUUUAAUUUUGAAGCCUUUUUAUAUUUUUUGUAAGACCUAAGUUAUAAUUGUAAUACGGUAAUAUCACAUUAUUAAAAAGGAGAAAAGAAAAAAAAACUGCGUGUGGAAGAAUAAAUAUGAUGGGAUCCAAAGAAGACAAUGGGAAAAACCUGAAAUAAAGCUUGUAACAAGGUCAAA